AGAAGGCGGAAAAACAAGUUAUCUGACCCUUCGGGGAACGAUAACGGCGUCCAGCGGCGGACGGGUGAGUAAUGCCUAAGAAAUUGCCCUGAUGUGGGGGAUAACCAUUGAAAACGAUGGCUAAUACCGCAUGAUGCCUACGGGCCAAAGAGGGGGACCUUCGGGCCUCUCGCGUCAGGAUAUGCCUAGGUGGGAUUAGCUAGUUGGUGAGGUAAGGGCUCACCAAGGCAACGAUCCCUAGCUGGUCUGAGAGGAUGAUCACCCACACUGGAACUGAAACACGGUCCAAACUCCUACGGGAGGCAGCAGUGGGGAAUUUUGCACAAUGGGCGCAAGCCUGAUGCAGCCAUGCCGCGUGUAUGAAAAAGGCCUUCGGGUUGUAAAGUACUUUCAGUCGUGAGGAAGGGGGCGUCGUUAAUAGCGGCGUUGUUUGACUUUAGCGACAAAAAAAGCACCGGCUAACUCCGUGCCAGCACCCGCGGUAAUACGGAGGGUGCGAGCGUUAAUCGGAUUUACUGGGCGUAAAGCGCAUGCAGGUGUUUUGUUAAGUCAGAUGUGAAACCCGGGGGCUCACCCUCGGAAUACCUUUUGAAACUGGCAAACUAAAGUACUGUAGAGGGGGGUAAAAUUUUCAGGUGUAGCGGUAAAUGCAUAAAGAUCUGAAGGAAUACGGGUGGCGAAGGCGCCCCCCUGGACAUAUACUGACACUCAGAUGCGAAGGCGUGGGGAACAAACAGGAUUACAUCCCCUGGUACCCCACGCCGAAACUAUGUCUACUUUGAGGUUGUGGCCCUUGACCGUGGCUUUCGGACCUACCCCGUUAAUUACACCGCCUGGGGA
rnacentral:rRNA from 1 species